rnacentral:rRNA from 1 species
CCUACGGGUGGCAGCAGUGGGGAAUAUUGCACAAUGGGGGAAACCCUGAUGCAGCGACGCCGCGUGAGUGAUGAAGUAUUUCGGUAUGUAAACUCCUAUCAUUAGAGAAGAAAAUGACGGUAUCUGACGAAUAAGCACCGGCUAACUCCGUGCCAGCAGCCGCGGUAAUACGUAGGGGGCAAGCGUUACCCGGAUUUACUGGGCGUAAAGAGCGCGUAGACGGCAGAGCAAGUCUGGAGUGAAAUGCCGGGGCUUAACCCUAGAACUGCUUUUGAAACUGUGCAGCUAGAGUGCAGGAGAGGUAGGUGGAAUUCCUGGUGUAGCGGUGAAAUGCGUAGAGAUUAGGAGGAAUACUAGUGGCGAAGGCGACUUACUGGACUGUAACUGACGUUGAGGCGCGAAAGCGUGGGGAGCAAACAGGAUUAGAUACCCUAGUAGUC